rnacentral:rRNA from 1 species
UACGUAGGGUGCGAGCGUUAAUCGGAGUGACUGGGCGUAAAGGGCGUGUAGGUGGAAGGAUAAGUUAUGUGUGAAAUCUCCGGGCUUAACUUGGAGGGGUCAUGUAAUACUGUUUUUCUAGAGUAGAGCAGAGGGAAGUAGAAUUUCCGGUGUAGCGGUGAAAUGCGUAGAGAUCGGAAGGAAUACCAGUGGCGAAGGCGGCUUCCUGGGCUCAUACUGACACUGAGGCGCGAAGGCGUGGGUAGCGAACAGG